rnacentral:tRNA from 1 species
GGUCCCAUCGUCUAAUGGUUAGGACAUCAGCUUUUCAAGCUGACGAUCGGAGUUCGACUCUCCGUGGGACCACCA